GCCGGGCGCAGUGGCACGCUCCUGUAAUCCCAGCUGCUCAGGAGGCUGAGGCAGGAGGAUGGCAAGUUCAAAACCAGCCUCAGCAAAAGCAAGGCAUUAAGCAACUCAGUGAGACCCUGUCUCUA
rnacentral:sRNA from 1 species